GAUGAACGCUGGCGGCGUGCCUAAUACAUGCAAGUCGAGCGAACAGACGAGGAGCUUGCUCCUCUGAUGUUAGCGGCGGACGGGUGAGUAACACGUGGAUAACCUACCUAUAAGACUGGGAUAACUUCGGGAAACCGGAGCUAAUACCGGAUAACAUGUUGAACCGCAUGGUUCAACAGUGAAAGACGGUCUUGCUGUCACUUAUAGAUGGAUCCGCGCCGUAUUAGCUAGUUGGUAAGGUAACGGCUUACCAAGGCAACGAUGCGUAGCCGACCUGAGAGGGUGAUCGGCCACACUGGAACUGAGACACGGUCCAGACUCCUACGGGAGGCAGCAGUAGGGAAUCUUCCGCAAUGGGCGAAAGCCUGACGGAGCAACGCCGCGUGAGUGAAGAAGGUCUUCGGAUCGUAAAACUCUGUUAUUAGGGAAGAACAAAUGUGUAAGUAACUAUGCACGUCUUGACGGUACCUAAUCAGAAAGCCACGGCUAACUACGUG
rnacentral:rRNA from 1 species